UGCCUGUCCUGCUGCCUGUACACCUGCCUGUCCUGGCACCUGUACACCUGCCUGUCCUGCUGCCUGUACACCUGCCUGACCUGCUGUCUGUACACCUGCCUGUCCUGCUGCCUGUACACCUGCCUGACCUGCUUACUGUACACCUGCCUGUCCUGCUGACUGUACACCUGCCUGCACACCUGCCUGUCCUGGCGCCUGCACACCUGCCUGUCCUGGCACCUGUACACCUGCCUGUCCUGCUGCCUGUACACCUGCCUGACGUGCUGUCUGUACACCUGCCUGUCCUGCUGCCUGUACACACAAUACCCCAUAAUGACAAAGUGAAAACAUGUUUUUAGAUGACAUUUUAUUUGUUGUAUUACAGAAAUACAGUAAUAUCUCAUUUACAUAAGUUUUCACACCCCCCAGAGUCAAUACUUUGUAGAAGCACCUUUGGCGCUGAUUCCAGCUGUGAGUCUUUCUGGGUCUUGACAUAGAUUUUGAAGUAGAUUUCGGGGUCAACGGUAACUCGGCCACUCAGGAACAUUCACUGUCUUCUUGCCCUACAGCAGAGAAUGGCUACUGUUACUAUGGAGGAGCAGCCUCAUUGGUCUACUGUUACCAUGGAGGAGCAGCCUCAUUGGUCUACUGUUACCAUGGAGGAGCAGCCUCAUUGGCCUACUGUUACCAUGGAGGAGCAGCCUCAUUG
rnacentral:lncRNA from 1 species